UACGUAGGUGGCAAGCGUUGUCCGGAUUUAUUGGGCGUAAAGAGCUCGUAGGCGGUUUGUCGCGUCGGCCGUGAAAACUUGGGGCUUAACUCCAAGCUUGCGGUCGAUACGGGCAGACUUGAGUUCGGCAGGGGAGACUGGAAUUCCUGGUGUAGCGGUGAAAUGCGCAGAUAUCAGGAGGAACACCGGUGGCGAAGGCGGGUCUCUGGGCCGAUACUGACGCUGAGGAGCGAAAGCGUGGGGAGCGAACAGG
rnacentral:rRNA from 1 species